rnacentral:snRNA from 1 species
GUGAUCGCUUCGGCAGUACAUAUACAAAAUUGGAACGAUACAGAGAAGAUUAGCAUGGUCCCUGCACAAGGAUGACACACAAAUUCGUGAAGCGUUCCAUAUUUAU